UAUGUUUCAAGAGUUUUCGCUGUGACCGCCGCUUCCACCCAGGGUUUUACAGAAGAAGCCGAAAUUGCAAUCUACCCGAUUUCUCAUUCCGUCUACGAAUUGAAGCUGAGAUGUCGAGAAUGGUCCGGACUAUGGCCGCUUUCACAUCGGCUUCUGCUUCCAGUUUGGUUCAGACUCAUCAACGCCUUCGAAGAGGUACUCUUAACACUUUCUCAGAUCGUUCCUAUGUUUUAAGUUGUCGGAGACUGGCUUCUUCUGGUGUUGACUACAGAGACAGAUUGAGAUUUGGGUUUCAUGGUUGUAGUAAUGUAGAUGAGGCUGUCGCUUUGUUCGACCACAUGGUUCGGUCUCGUCCCUUGCCUUCCAUUGUCGAUUUUAAUAAAUUACUGGCUGCAAUCGCCAAAAUGAAACAGUAUGAUGUUGUGAUUUCUCUCUGCAAGAGAAUGGAAUUGCUCCGGGUUUCACAUGACGACUACACUUUGAGUAUUCUCAUCAACGCAUUCUGCCGCUCAGGACAAGUGGUUUUGGGCCUUUCGGUUUUGGGGAAAAUCAUAAAAAGGGGUUACGAGCCUAACGUAGUCAUAUUCACUACCCUGAUCAAUGGAUUUUGUAUCCAAAAGAAGCUUUCUGUGGCGUUAAGUUGGUUUGACCAAAUGGUAUACGAGGGGUACAAACCUGAUGUUGUGACAUUUACCACUUUGGUCAACGGACUUUGUCGAGAGGGGAGAGUUUCUGAAGCUGUGAGCGUAGUUGAUCGGAUGUUAAAGUUGGGGUAUCAACCAAAUGUAGUUACUUAUGGCGCUGUUGUCAAUGGUAUUUGCAAGUCGGGGGAUUCUGCUUUGGCAUUGAAUCUGCUCAUGAAGAUGGAGGAAAAGAACAUUGAGGUGGAUGUCAAAAUUUACAGUAUGAUCAUUGAUGGUCUUUGCAAAGAUGGACACAUAGAUGAUGCAUUGAACCUUUUCGAAAUGAUGGACAGCAAAGGGAUUGCUCCAGAUGUUGUCACCUACAGUUGUUUGAUAAAAGGCCUUUGCGUUUUUGACAGAUGGAACGAUGCUGUCCGAUUGUUGAAUGAUAUGGCCAAAAGAAAAAUCUUCCCUAAUGUUGUCACUUUCAAUAUAUUGAUCGAUGCGUUCGUUAAAGAGGGAAAGUUUUUGGAGGCCAAAGAACUGUGCGAAGAGAUGAUCCGAAGAGGUUUAGUUCCGAAUACUCAUACAUAUACUUCAUUGAUCGAUGGGUUGUGCAUGAAGAAUCGCCUUGACGAGGCGAGACGAAUGAUCGAUUUUAUGAUCAACAGAGGAUGCUAUCCAAAUGCAGUGACUUUUAAUUGUCUGAUAAAUGGUUAUUGCAAGUGUAAUAAGGUUGACGAGGGUAUGAAACUCUUUCAUGAGAUGUCUCGAAGAGGGUUGGUCGGUGAUACACGUACUUACAACACUCUCAUACAAGGUUUUUUCCGAGCGGGCAAAGACAAUGUCGCCCAUAAACUCUUUUUAGAGAUGCAGAGACAGGGUGUGGAUCCUGAUCUUGUAACUUGCACAGUAGUGCUUGAUGGACUUUGUAAGAAUGGAAAACUGGACGAGGCGCUUGUAUUGUAUUGCGAGUUGGAAACGAGUGGGAUUGACCUCAAUAUAUUUGUUCAUAGUAUUAUGAUGAAUGGCUUGUGCAAGGCUGACAUGGUUGAUGAGGCACUCGGAUUGUUUAAUAAACUUUCGGAUAAAGGGAUUGAACCGAACGUAAAGACGUACAAUACAAUGAUUACUGGAUUUUGUGGAAAAGGUAUACUCAGUGAAGCCGUCAAGUUGUUUAAAAACAUGAAAGAGGUUGGUUGUAUGCCAGAUGAUUGUACGUAUAAUGUACUGAUCCGAGGUCAUCUCAAAGGUGGCCAUGUAGCAACGGUUAUCGAGCUCAUUCGGGAAAUGAGAAGCUGCGGUUUUUCUUCAGAUGUUUCAACAAUGGAAAUGGUUGUUGAUAUGCUAUCGGACGGGAGAUUGGAGAAAAGUUUUUUGGUUCUUCUUUCUCGAUGAGCUGUAAUGCGGAGGUUGCUUUCAGUCAUGGAAGUCGUAUGACAACGAGUUCGAAAAUCUCUUGGUAGUUGAUCCAACUGAAGAAAUUCCUCUGUAGGCAGUGAAUGAACUUUCCCCAAUCCAAUAAAAUGACUGGAUCUUCUCUCUCGGUGAGCUGUAACGCGGAGAUUGGUUUCGGUCAUGGAAGUUGUGUGACAAUGACAAUGAGGUGAAUGAGAAGAUUAGGAAAUGUUGAAAGAGGAGAGAUUGAUCUUGGAAGCGUUAUUCCUAAAUGCGACGUCGUCUUCAGAUAAUCUUUGAAGCUUCUACCCGAGACUGAAGCUUCACAUGUAUCCGCAAUAUUCAGCUCCGGAUCUUAUUCCACACUUUCAUCAGUCAUAUAUAUAUAUAUAUAUUCCAUGGUAUAUUUACCCAUUUAAACAUAUUCUCCGGAAUUCACUUUAAUUCCUUCAUUCGUAUAUUUUCGUAAAAUGAAUGAUCUUCAUUCAUAUUAGCAACUGCUGUCGGCCAAGGCACAGUCAAACAAGUUUAAGGGUAAUCUUCGUUUCAAUUCCCAAUAAUGUUUAUCU